rnacentral:rRNA from 1 species
UGCAAGAGCUGAGUUUAGCAGAACAUUCUGGAAAGUAUAGCCAUAGAGGGUGAUAGUCCCGUAUGCGAAAAACAAAGCUUAGCUAGCAGUAUCCUGAGUAGGGCGGGACACGAGAAAUCCUGUCUGAAUCCGGGUCGACCACGAUCCAACCCUAAAUACUAAUACCAGAUCGAUAGUGCACAAGUACCGUGAGGGAAAGGUGAAAAGAACUGAGGUGAUCAGAGUGAAAUAGAACCUGAAACCAUUUGCUUACAAUCAUUCAGAGCACUAUGUAGCAAUACAGUGUGAUGGACUGCCUUUUGCAUAAUGAGCCUGCGAGUUGUGGUGUCUGGCAAGGUUAAGCAAACGCGAAGCCGUAGCGAAAGCGAGUCUGAAUAGGGCGCUUAGUCAGAUGCUGCAGACCCGAAACGAAGUGAUCUAUCCAUGAGCAAGUUGAAGCUAGUGUAAGAACUAGUGGAGGACUGAACCCAUAGGCGUUGAAAAGCCCCGGGAUGACUUGUGGAUAGGGGUGAAAGGCCAAUCAAACUUCGUGAUAGCUGGUUCUCUCCGAAAUAUAUUUAGGUAUAGCGUUGUGUCGUAAUAUAAGGGGGUAGAGCACUGAAUGGGCUAGGGCAUACACCAAUGUACCAAACCCUAUCAAACUCCGAAUACCUUAUAUGUAAUCACAGCAGUCAGGCGGCGAGUGAUAAAAUCCGUCGUCAAGAGGGAAACAACCCAG